UACGGGGGGGGCAAGCGUUGUUCGGAAUUACUGGGCGUAAAGAGCUCGUAGGCGGUCUGUCACGUCUGCCGUGAAAACCCGAGGCUUAACCUCGUGGCUUGCGGUGGAUACGGGCAGACUAGAGGUAGGUAGGGGAGAAUGGAAUUCCCGGUGUAGCGGUGAAAUGCGCAGAUAUCAGGAGGAACACCGGUGGCGAAGGCGGUUCUCUGGGCCUUACCUGACGCUGAGGAGCGAAAGCGUGGGGAGCAAACAGG
rnacentral:rRNA from 1 species